rnacentral:rRNA from 1 species
GACGAACGCUGGCGGCGUGCCUAAUACAUGCAAGUAGAACGCUGAAGGAGGAGCUUGCUUCUCUGGAUGAGUUGCGAACGGGUGAGUAACGCGUAGGUAACCUGCCUGGUAGCGGGGGAUAACUAUUGGAAACGAUAGCUAAUACCGCAUAAGAGUAGAUGUCGCAUGACAUUUGCUUAAAAGGUGCAAUUGCAUCACUACCAGAUGGACCUGCGUUGUAUUAGCUAGUUGGUGAGGUAACGGCUCACCAAGGCAACGAUACAUAGCCGACCUGAGAGGGUGAUCGGCCACACUGGGACUGAGACACGGCCCAGACUCCUACGGGAGGCAGCAGUAGGGAAUCUUCGGCAAUGGACGGAAGUCUGACCGAGCAACGCCGCGUGAGUGAAGAAGAUUUUCGGAUCGUAAAGCUCUGUUGUAAGAGAAGAACGAGUGUGAGAGUGGAAAGUUCACACUGUGACGGUAUCUUACCAGAAAGGGACGGCUAACUACGUG